UUUACACUUAACAUCCACUUUCAAAUUCCACUUAACAUCACUGCAGCCAAGUCAUUCCUCCUCCUACGCCAUAUCCCCUUCUCCUACAAAUCCGACAGCAAAUUCAUUCUCCCAAUCUCCAAAAUCUUUCAACAUUCAUUAUAUAUUUAUUUUCCACUCAAGAGAAGCUCAAAAGAAAUCCAGACAACAACGACUCAACUCCAUCCAAAAUUCCUUAAGGCUUUGUGACCAGGGGGAUUAGCGCUGCUUUCCCAAGACAGGUUUAUAAGUGAUUAUGAUCUUCAGGCUUUGCCUAACCAGGUGGGCAUUACUUUUACUAUACGUAUAUAGAGAUCCCCUGCGUGUCGUAGGCCUCUUAUACGAAUAUAUGCAUGAGAUGAUUUUAACUGUUAAUUUCAGUUUAUUAUUAUGCCCAAAUGAUAAAUGACUCUUAUGAAAUAAAAAUGAAAUGUUUAUGAAAUGAAAUGAAAUGUUUAUGAAAUGAUUGACUGCCAAAAAUGUUUAUGUUUUUAUAUGUAUCCUAUCUGUGUUGGUUCGCCAACUUUAAAGGAAAUCCAAUUGGGAUCCUAUGCUAGACAAAGGUCGCUAGCUAGGGUUAACGUGUACACUUACGGAGACCGCGAGUCGCUUGCGACCGGUCUUGGCGUCCGUGGUAAGGAGGCCUCCUUCCCGGCGCGUGACAGAAAGGAACAGAUAUGGAUCAUAUGAAGGAAAAUGAUCGGCCGAUCGACUUUAUGAAAAUGAAAGAAAUAUUUUAGUAAGCGCAGGUCAUUUAAGAAAACCCCUGUGUGUUACUGUUAUGGCAGUUCAAUUUAUAUAUGUAUGCAUGUUGUAUUUUCGGCUAUGCCCACUGAGUAUUUUUUAUACUCAGCCCUGCAUGUAUUUCUAAAUGUGCAGGUUGAGCAGUUGAUGGAAUGGAAUGAUGUUGAGCGGGUGUUCCUGUGACAUUUCAAGAAAUGUAACCUUGAGUAUACAUCUUCAUAUGUAUAUCUCACACGUUUUCCGCUGCAAAACACUUGAUUAGGAUAGCUCUAUGAUAUGAAGUUGUGAUACGUGUUAUUGGGUAACCACCUUAAUCAGUUCUCAUUUAUGUGUAUGUUUUAUAAGUAUCCAAAUAAUCAUAUAUGAUCCUAGCAUUUUAUCUAUGAGUGACAUUUCCAUAUACUUUAAUGUUAA